UACGGGGGGGGCAAGCGUUGUUCGGAAUUACUGGGCGUAAAGGGCUCGUAGGCGGCCAACUAAGUCGGAUGUGAAAUCCCCAGGCUCAACCUGGGAACUGCAUCCGAUACUGGAUGGCUUGAAUUCGGGAGAGGGAUGCAGAAUUCCAGGUGUAGCGGUGAAAUGCAUAGAUAUCGUCAAGAACACCGAUAGCGAAGGCAGCUUACUGGGCUGUAACUGACGCUGAUGCACGAAAGUGUGGGGAUCAAACAGG
rnacentral:rRNA from 1 species